GGCUCUCUUUUGUUUUCGCCUUGGCCUAUGCCCAUUUUUUGACAUCCAAUGGCAUGAUGAGAUUGUUUAAACUCCGACCUUUGCUUGCACAUGUUUGAGGGCACCGAUGAAGUCUCUCAAUGUUGAAAGAAGCUUCACUAUUAUCACCUUGUUAUCUGUUUCACUUAAUCAUUGUAUUGGGAAAUAACAUAUAUAAAAGAAAGUAAAUGUAUUAAUAUUCUCUCUGCUUUAUUUGCAAUUCAUAAGGCCCCAAGGUCUUUCGAGAACAACACGGUGUCACGAAAAGGCAUUGGCCAAAUACCGCACAACAUGUACCAAGCAAUAAAAAUUUAUAUAUCAUGGUCUUGAUUGACCAUUAACGACAAAGAACCCAAAAGGCCAAAACCUUCCAAAUCUGUGUCAUGUUUUAUGACAAAAAUAUCUGCAUUCAUCUUUGACAAAAUCAGUUAUGCCUUAACAUGUAUGACUAACUAUGUUACAUAAGCAAAAAUAUAUGUUAGGCACCCAGCCACAUAAAGUCCACACAUGCACAUGAACAUGAAUGAACAUUUAUGAAUGCACGUGUCAGUUUGUGUCUGUGCACAUGCACAUGCACAUGAAUGAACAUUUAUGAAUGCAUGUGUCAGUUUGUGUCUGUGCACAUGCACAUGAACAUGAAUGAACAUUUAUGAAUGCAUGUGUCAGUUUGUGUCUGUGCCUGCAUGCGUCAGUGUAAGCAUUCACAAAAAGCAUCUUAGCUUUUAAGACUUG
rnacentral:lncRNA from 1 species